GACGAACGCUGGCGGCGUGCUUAACACAUGCAAGUCGAACGGUGAAGGGACCAGCUUGCUGGUUCUGGAUGAGUGGCGAACGGGUGAGUAACACGUGAGUAACCUGCCCCCUUCUUCUGGAUAACCGCAUGAAAGUGUGGCUAAUACGGGAUAUUCUGGGUCUGUCGCAUGGCGGGCCCGGGAAAGAUAUUGCUUCGGUGGGGGAUGGGCUCGCGGCCUAUCAGCUUGUUGGUGGGGUGAUGGCCUACCAAGGCGGUGACGGGUAGCCGGCCUGAGAGGGUGGACGGUCACACUGGGACUGAGACACGGCCCAGACUCCUACGGGAGGCAGCAGUGGGGAAGAUUGCACAAGGGGCGCAAGCCUGAUGCAGCGACGCCGCGUGAGGGAUGGAGGCCUUCGGGUUGUAAACCUCUUUCGCCAGUGAAGCAGGCCUGCUCCUUGUGGGUGGGUUGACGGUAGCUGGAGAAGAAGCGCCGGCUAACUACGUG
rnacentral:rRNA from 1 species